rnacentral:rRNA from 1 species
UCAAGAAAUUAAGGGCUUAUGGGGGAUACCUUGGCAUUCAGAAGCGAUGAAGGACGUGGCUACCUGCGAUAAUCUUCGGGGAGCUGGAAGCAAGCUUUGAUCCGGAGGUCUCCGAAUGAGGCAACUCCAAGAACUACUUAUCGAAUAAAUAGAUAAGAAAGAGUGAACCCAGGGAAUUGAAACAUCUUAGUACCUGGAGGAAAAGAAAGUAAAAACGAUUCCCUUAGUAGCGGCGAGCGAAACGGGAUCAGCCUAAACUAAUAAAUAUUAGGGUUGUGGGACAGUAAUAUCAGAAUGGAUUAGCUAGAUGAAAUAGUUGGAAUACUAUACCAUAGAAAGUGAAAGUCUUGUAAUCGAAAGCUAUGAAAACUGCAUUGUAUCCCGAGUAGCAUGGAGCACGUGAAAUUCCGUGUGAAUCUGCGAGGACCACCUCGUAAGGCUAAAUAUUCCUGAAUGACCGAUAGUGAAACAGUACCGUGAGGGAAAGGUGAAAAGAACCCCGGGAGGGGAGUGAAAUAGAACAUGAAACCAUAAGCUUACAAGCAGUAGGAGAACGACUUAACGUUUGACUGCGUUCCUGUUGAAGAAUGAGCCGGCGACUUAUAGGUAAUGGCUUGGUUAAGAUAGUGAAUAUCGGAGCCGUAGCGAAAGCGAGUCUGAAAAGGGCGUUUGUCAUUAUUUAUAGACCCGAACCCGGAUGAUCUAACCAUGGCCAGGAUGAAGCUGAAGUAAAAUCCAGUGGAGGUCCGAACCGACUGAUGUUGAAAAAUCAGCGGAUGAGUUGUGGUUAGGGGUGAAAUGCCAAUCGAAUCCGGAGCUAGCUGGUUCUCCCCGAAAUGCGUUUAGGCGCAGCGGUUAAUGUUAUAAUUUAGGGGUAAAGCACUGUUUCGGUGCGGGCUGGUAAAACGGUACCAAAUCGAGGCAAACUAAGAAUACUAAAUGAAUAAUUAACCAGUAAGACUGUGGGGGAUAAGCUCCAUUGUCAAGAGGGAAACAGCCCAGACCACCAGCUAAGGCCCCUAAAUAAUUGCUAAGUGAUAAAGGAGGUGGGAAUGCAUAGACAACCAGGAGGUUUGCUUAGAAGCAGCAACCCUUUAAAGAGUGCGUAAUAGCUCACUGGUCGAGUAGGCCUGCGCCGAAAAUGAAUGGGGCUAAGUAAUUUGCCGAAGCUGUGGGAUAUAUAUUAUCGGUAGGGGAGCGUUCUACCUUAGGUUGAAGCAUUAGCGAAAGCGGGUGUGGACGAAGUAGAAGUGAGAAUGUCGGCUUGAGUAGCGAAAACAUUGGUGAGAAUCCAAUGCCCCGAAAACCUAAGGUUUCCUUCGGAAGGCUCGUCCGCGGAGGGUAAGUCAGGACCUAAGGCGAGGCCGAAAGGCGUAGUCGAUGGACAACGGGUUAAUAUUCCUGUACUAUUUUUUAUUGACAACGAGGGACGGAGAAGGCUAGGCUAGCCGGAUGUUGGUUACCGGUUUAAGCGUUCGAGGUGUUGAGAAGUAGAGAAAAUACUUUGAGCUGAGGCGUGAAUACAAGAUGCUACGGCAUUUAAGUAGUUGAUGUCAUACUUCCAAGAAAAGCUUGCACUGUUUAAGAAUAAAAAAAUACCUGUACCAUAAACCGACACAGGUGGGUAAGUAGAGAAUACUAAGGGGCGCGAGAUAACUCUCUCUAAGGAACUCGGCAAAAUAACCCCGUAACUUUGGGAGAAGGGGUGCCUUUAUAAGGUUGCAAUAAUCAGGUCCAAGCGACUGUUUACCAAAAACACAGGUCUCCGCUAAGUCGUAAGACGACGUAUGGGGGCUGACGCCUGCCCAGUGCCGGAAGGUUAAGGAAGUCUGUUAAAUGCUGAUGACUGAAGCCCCGGUGAACGGCGGCCGUAACUAUAACGGUCCUAAGGUAGCGAAAUUCCUUGUCGGGUAAGUUCCGACCUGCACGAAAGGCGUAACGAUUUGGGCACUGUCUCGGAGAGAGACUCGGCGAAAUAGACUUGUCUGUGAAGAUGCGGACUACCUGCACCUGGACAGAAAGACCCUAUGAAGCUUUACUGUAGCUUGAAAUUGACUUCGGGCUUUAUUUGCGCAGGAUAGGUGGGAGGCUUUGAUCCUAAUUUUGCGGAAUUAGGUGAGCCGUUGGUGAGAUACCACUCUUGUAAAGCUAGAAUUCUAACCUUGUAUCGUAAGCAGGUCAAGGAACAGUUUCAGGUGGGCAGUUUGACUGGGGCGGUCGCCUCCUAAAAGGUAACGG